rnacentral:rRNA from 1 species
CCUACGGGGGGCAGCAGUAGGGAAUCUUCCACAAUGGGCGAAAGCCUGAUGGAGCAACGCCGCGUGGGUGAAGAAGGUCUUCGGAUCGUAAAACUCUGUUGUUAGAGAAGAAAGUGCGUGAGAGUAACUGUUCACGUUUCGACGGUAUCUAACCAGAACGCCACGGCUAACUACGUGCCAGCAGCCGCGGCAAUACGUAGGUGGCAAGCGUUAUCCGGAUUUAUUGGGCGUAAAGGGAACGCAGGCGGUCUUUUAAGUCUGAUGUGAAAGCCUUCGGCUUAACCGGGGUAGUGCAUUGGAGACUGGGAGACUUGAGUGCAGAAGAGGAGAGUGGAACUCCAUGUGUAGCGGUGAAAUGCGUAGAUAUAUGGAAGAACACCAGUGGCGAAAGCGGCUCUCUGGUCUGUAACUGACGCUGAGGUUCGAAAGCGUGGGUAGCAAACAGGAUUAGAUACCCCUGUAGUC